rnacentral:rRNA from 1 species
GACGAACGCUGGCGGCGUGCUUAACACAUGCAAGUCGAACGAAGAGCGAUGGAAGCUUGCUUCUAUCAAUCUUAGUGGCGAACGGGUGAGUAACGCGUAAUCAACCUGCCCUUCAGAGGGGGACAACAGUUGGAAACGACUGCUAAUACCGCAUACGAUCCGACCUCGGCAUCGAGGAUGGAUUAAAGGUGGCCUCUAUUUAUAAGCUAUCACUGCAGGAGGGGAUUGCGGCUGUUGAGUAAGUGGGAGGGGAAAGGUCCCCCCUAGGUAAGGAUGAGUAGCCGGUCUGAGAGGAUGAACGGCCACAUUGGGACUGAGACACGGCCCAGACGGCUACGGGAGGCAGCAGUGGGGAAUCUUGCGCAAUGGACGAAAGUCUGACGGCGCAACGCCGCGUGAGGGAUGACGGCCUUCGGGUUGGAAAGCUCUGUUAAUCGGGACGAAAGGUCUUCUUGCGAAUAGUUAGAAGAAUUGACGGUACCGGAAUAGAAAGCCACGGCUAACUACGUG